CAAAGGUAUGAAAAAGUCUGAGC
rnacentral:piRNA from 1 species